AUUAAGACUAUGAUGAGAAGAGUAGAUAUAGAAGGUAAUUAUAGCGAAUCAGUGAUGGUGGAAGACUGAUAUGAAAUCUAUAUUGAAGAACAUCUCUGAGUUUCUAAUCGAAAUCUUAUAAGAAGAAAGUAGACUUAGACGGAUUCACUCCGUUAAAAGUGAGCAGUAUUUUAAGUACUGUUUUAGAGUGGUUGUUUCUAUGACAAUUAGGGUGGUACCGCGAACUAAGCCUUUCGUCCCUUCG
rnacentral:ncRNA from 1 species